GACGAACGCUGGCGGCGUGCCUAAUACAUGCAAGUCGAACGCUUCUUUCCUCCCGAGUGCUUGCACUCAAUUGGAAAGAGGAGUGGCGGACGGGUGAGUAACACGUGGGUAACCUACCCAUCAGAGGGGGAUGACACUUGGAAACAGGUGCUAAUACCGCAUAACAGUUUAUGCCGCAUGGCAUAAGAGUGAAAGGCGCUUUCGGGUGUCGCUGAUGGAUGGACCCGCGGUGCAUUAGCUAGUUGGUGAGGUAACGGCUCACCAAGGCCACGAUGCAUAGCCGACCUGAGAGGGUGAUCGGCCACACUGGGACUGAGACACGGCCCAGACUCCUACGGGAGGCAGCAGUAGGGAAUCUUUGGCAAUGGACGAAAGUCUGACCGAGCAACGCCGCGUGAGUGAAGAAGGUUUUCGGAUCGUAAAACUCUGUUGUUAGAGAAGAACAAGGACGUUAGUAACUGAACGUCCCCUGACGGUAUCUAACCAGAAAGCCACGGCUAACUACGUG
rnacentral:rRNA from 1 species